rnacentral:rRNA from 1 species
UGCCCACUGAUAUAAAUAUUAAAGGGCUGCAGUAAUUUGACUGUACAAAGGUAGCAUAAUCAUUAGUCAUUUAAUUGAUGACUUGUAUGAAGGAUUGGAUGAAAUAUAAACUGUCUUUAUAAUAUUAUAUAGAAUUUAAUUUUUUAAUUAAAAAGUUAAAAUAAAUAAAAAAGACGAGAAGACCCUAUAGAGUUUUAUUAUUGAUUAAAUUAAUAUUAUUUAUAAAUAUGAGAGAUUAAAAUUAAAUUAAUAAUUUUGUUGGGGUGAUAAAAAAAUUAAAUGAACUUUUUUAAUAAUAAGAACAUGAAUAAGUGAUUUAUUGAUCCAUGAAUAAUGAUUAAAAGAGAAAAUUACCUUAGGGAUAACAGCGUAAUUUUUUUUUUUAGUUCAGAUAAAAAAAAAAGUUUGCGACCUCGAUGUUGGAUUAAGAUAAAAUUUAAAUGUAGAAGUUUAA